CUCGCCUGCAUGAAGCUGGAAUUGCUAGUAAUCGCGGAUCAGCAUGCCGCGGUGAAUACGUUCCCGGGCCUUGUACACACCGCCCGUCACACCAUGAGAGUCGGGAACACCCGAAGUCCGUAGUCUAACCGCAAGGAGGGCGCGGCCGAAGGUGGGUCCGGUAAUUGGGGUGAAGUCGUAACAAGGUAAC
rnacentral:rRNA from 1 species